UGGGGAAUUUUGCACAAUGGGCGCAAGCCUGAUGCAGCGACGCCGCGUGAGGGAUGAAGGCCUUCGGGUUGUAAACCUUUUUCGCUCAUGGUCAAGCCGCAGCUUUGGGUUGUGGUGAGGGUAGUGGGUAAAGAAGCGCCGGCUAACUACGUGCCAGCAGCCGCGGUAAUACGUAGGGCGCGAGCGUUGUCCGGAAUUAUUGGGCGUAAAGGGCUUGUAGGCGGUUGGCCGCGUCUGCCGUGAAAUCCUCUGGCUUAACUGGGGGCGUGCGGUGGGUACGGGUUGGCUUGAGUGCGGUAGGGGAGGCUGGAAUUCCUGGUGUAGCGGUGGAAUGCGCAGAUAUCAGGAGGAACACCGGUGGCGAAGGCGGGUCUCUGGGCCGUUACUGACGCUGAGGAGCGAAAGCGUGGGGAGCGAACAGG
rnacentral:rRNA from 1 species